ACACUGUGGAACAGCUAAACCCAGCCAAGCAGCGGUCCUGUGGUACAGUCAGGGAUGACGAAACUGAUACAAGUAACAUGCAACCUUUUACCUUCAAGUUAAUACCGUCUAUAGGCAGCCUGAGAGUCAAAGUUGCUCUGAAGAAAACAUGGAUAUCUUCACACAACCAAAAUUUCAGGCCACCAUAGGAGAAACACAUCCUGUAAUACAGUGUGUAAUUGACAACAACAUGAUAAAGCUGAAAAAAUUACUCAAAGACAACAGCAUUGAUCAAACGUACCCAUGCGCCCAGUGUAAUGAUUUAAUAACACCACUGAUUGCUUCUGUUGUUUUCCACAAUAGGGACAUUUGCAUGUUCCUUUUGCAGAAUGGUGCAAACCCAGAUGUUACUUCCAGCAGUGGCUUCACACCUUCACAUUACAUCUCAUUAUACAAUGCAUCGCUGCUAUUUGUGGAGAAACUGCUUGAAGCAAAAGCUGAUCCAAAUGGAGUGAUGAAACUUCAGCCGCUCAUCCCACUGCAUACUGCUCUUAUCAAUGACAGGGAAGAUGUCACGAAAGCACUUAUUUCUGCUGGUGCUAUUGUACAACUGUUGCCCAGUAGUUUACUUGAACACACCACUCUUAAUGAAAAACUUUAUCAGAUAUUUCAGAACUGUGCAUUGAAAGGGGAUGAUCUACGCUCCAAGCUCUGUUAUUUCCUGUAUGUGGACCUUGCUGUGCAAAAGAAUCAACCUGAAGAUGUGUUCAAAACGUUUGGCAGGGACAUGCUGCUGGAGCAUCCUCAGAUCCAUCUGACCAUCAUUGAAAUACUUUUUAAUGUUUUGGGGCCAGAUAAAGAAAAGUAUAAAAAGGAUGUAUAAAAUGGCUUAAAGACACUGACAGUGUAGAUGCCUACAUCUCAAGUGUCAUCAGUCGCUUUCCAAACAUUUUGAAGGAACAUGCAGGUUAGGUGAUUUGUAGUUUGUAUUCAGUUUUAUGUACCAUUGAAGAGAUAAAAAAUAAGCAGGCAUGUGAUCUGAUCCCAGAACUACUGGAACAGCUUGGCACAGAAGAGAGUCCUGUUAUGCAUUUUCUGAAUACACUGUACCUGAUAACACAGAAAACAAAAAGCAAAACCAGCUGGGAUGCAGUCUUAACACUCCACAGACAUAAGAGUCUUCACAUACGGCAUAUUUGGAAACUUGCUCUCGUUUGAAAACGCAGUGAACUUCAUAACAUCAGCAGGGAUAACUUCAGUGCCUGACAUCAUCCUGACAUCUGCAGAGAUGAUAAUGCUCAGAGAUCUCAAAGAUGUGAUCAGAAACCUGAGUAACCAACUGAGCAAACCUAACACAAAGUCUGAAGACUUUCCUGGAUCAGAGAGAGAGGAUCUGUUCGAGUGAAGUCAAGAUGGACUGUGACAGAAAUCCAUGGAGUUCCCCUUUUGAAAAAUCUUACACACUGAGGGAGAGAGGACUAUUUGACUCAGAUUGGAGACAUGGAGGAAGUGAAAAAAUAUGGCAGUGCUGAUCCAGAGCUGAUUUCUUCAAUGGAGAAAUGUGCAGGAAAUAGAUCCUUCAAUGGAUGGAAAACUCAGUUUUCCGAGGAGUUGCUCCUGAAGGGGGGCCGCAAGAAGAAACCUUACACUGAAAACAUCCUGGGACUGCUGCGCUUCAGUCGAAACCUCUUUGUGCACUAGUCACCACACAUUUCAGUAAGGAUGCAUCAUUUUCUGCUGGUGUCUAAUGAAGUAAGUAUUAAUGAAUCUGUCGUUCCCUAUUCAGACUUAUAACCAUUCAAAUAAACAAGGGGAAAAUCUGUCAUUUUAAAAUUCAGCCAAACCAGUAAUCAUACUGAUGAACAUUGUUUAUUAUUGUCAUACAGUCCUUAACUGUUGCUGAAAUAUGCUAAAAGUUGUUACUGCAGUAUUUCUUUGUUUUAAGUUAUAUCAACAACAGGGAAAAACAUGGAAAUCAGCCAACUGCUGUAAUCUAACACAUAUAUAAUAUUUGCUUUGUACUGGUGUUAAUCAUUGAUAUGCACCACCAUGAUUUCUCCAUGAGAAUUUUUGAAGCAGAAGAGUUUGCAAGAGAUGCCAGAGCAGCUACGCCACCCACAACCUCUGAUGAACAUGCCAGUCACCCAGUUCAGGAAUCUCAGCAAAUAUUCACCAAGCCAACUGAAGAGUGACCUCAGGCUCACAUCACUCAUGGAGUGAUUCAGAGGAGUCCUGACUCUGUUGGAUGGUUUCAACUCAGCUGACCUAUUCCACACUGUAUGAUUGCUUUUUAAGUGUAUUAUUAUGAGGUGCCUUAUUUUGGUGAAUGUGGAUGACUUAACAGUCAUUUGACAAGUCACAGGUCAAAUAUGUGUGAGUGCUCUAUUGGCUGUUAUGAAAGUGUGUCAUUCUGACAGGUUGCUUUAUUCACAUUUAAUGUAGUUUUUCUUUUAAACAAACUCUGGGCUUUGGAGGGUUGACGGUUAUGACAUGAGUCUUAAUUUUGUUUAUAUUUAUCACAUGGAAACACACAAGCAAUGUUUGUAAAAAGAGAGUGGCAUUAUUUUAAUCUAUGAAAAAGCUCAGUGUGAUAUUUUUCUAACUUUGCAUCCUAAUUGUUUUAAAAGGAUGAAAACAUGUAAAUCCAGCCAAAGAAGUGAUGAUUAAAAAGUGAAAAAAAAAAUAAUUUUGUAGUUUAAUAAACUGCUGUUUUAAUCGCUUGUAUUUUGUCAUAUUUUCUGCAUAUUUGUCAAAUAAAUUUAGAACAAUUGAAAACUGUUCAACUCUA